rnacentral:tRNA from 1 species
GCGAAAGUAGCUCAGUGGUAGAGCAUCACCUUGCCAAGGUGAGGGUCGCGGGUCCGAAUCCCGUCUUUCGCUCAA